rnacentral:rRNA from 1 species
GACGAACGCUGGCGGCGUGCUUAACACAUGCAAGUCGAACGGAAAGGCCCUGCUUUUGUGGGGUUCUCGAUUGGCGAACGGGUGAGUAACACGUGUGUAACCUGCCCUUGACUUUGUGAUAACUUCAGGAAACUGGGGCUAAUACCGGAUAGGAUCUCCUGCUGCAUGGUGGGGGUUGGAAAGUUUCGGCGGUUGGGGAUGGACUCGCGGCUUAUCAGCUUGUUGGUGGGGUAGUGGCUUACCAAGGCUUUGACGGGUAGCCGGCCUGAGAGGGUGACCGGCCACAUUGGGACUGAGAUACGGCCCAGACUCCUACGGGAGGCAGCAGUGGGGAAUAUUGCACAAUGGGCGGAAGCCUGAUGCAGCAACGCCGCGUGCGGGAUGCCGGCCUUCGGGUUGUAAACCGCUUUCGACUGUGACGAAGCGUGCGUGACGGUAAUGGGUAAAGAAGCACCGGCUAACUACGUG